rnacentral:rRNA from 1 species
CUCACCAGGAAAAACUUCUACAUUGAGAACUCAAUAUGUGUUCUAUGUGAUGAUGAACCCAAUGAAUACAUGAAACAUCUUUUCUUCUCAUGUGAUUUUAGCCAAAAAUUCUGGUUAUCACUUGGUUUUGAAUGGAACACUGAUCUGAAUUGUAAUGAUAUGCUCAUUGAAGCCAGAAAUAGAACUCAGAUUCAGCCCUUCAAAGAAUGUCUAAUCGCUGGUUGUUGGACCAUCUGAAGACACAGAAACAAUAUCAUUUUUGAUAACAAGCAAAGGGACUUGAACUACUGCAUCUCCUGUUUCAAGGACCAUUAUGGCACCAUCAUCAAAAGAGUUAAACCUAGUUUAAAGGAGGGUAUGCAAAGCUGGCUGGACUAUUUGCAAACACCUAUUUUUCAUGUACCCCUGCCCUGUUAUAAUCCAUCUGUAUAUAACACCUCCCCCCCAUAUUAA